rnacentral:rRNA from 1 species
GAACGUUUCAGCUUGCUGAAACUAGUAAAGUGGCGCACGGGUGAGUAACGCGUGGGCAAUCUACCUCCGAAUUGGGGAUAACAUUGCGAAAGCGAUGCUAAUACCGAAUGAUAUCUCAAUCACUCCGGUCUUUGAGAUCAAAGGUGGCCUCUCCAUGGAAGCUACUGUUUGGAGAUGAGCCCGCGUACCAUUAGCUUGUUGGUAGGGUAAUGGCCUACCAAGGCGACGAUGGUUAGCUGGUCUGAGAGGAUGAUCAGCCACACUGGAACUGACACACGGUCCAGACUCCUACGGGAGGCAGCAGUGAGGAAUUUUGCGCAAUGGGGGAAACCCUGACGCAGCAACGCCGCGUGAGUGAUGAAGGCUUUCGGGUCGUAAAGCUCUGUCAAGUGAGAAGAACCUGCCCUUUGCUAAUAUCACUGGGCACUGACGGUAUCACUGAAGGAAGCACCGGCUAACUCCGUG